rnacentral:rRNA from 1 species
GCCAUCCCGCGUGAGGACGACGGCCCUAUGGGUUGUAAACUUCUUUUUUACAGGGAUAAACCUUUCCACGUGUGGAAAGCUGAAGGUACUGUACGAAUAAGCCCCGGCUAACUCCGUGCCAGCAGCCGCGGUAAUACGGAGGGGGCAAGCGUUAUCCGGAUUUAUUGGGUUUAAAGGGUCCGUAGGCGGACUCUUAAGUCAGUGGUGAAAUCUCACAGCUUAACUGUGAAACUGCCAUUGAUACUGCGGGUCUUGAGUAUAUUUGAAGUAGCUGGAAUAUUUAGGGUAGCGGUGAAAUGCAUAAAUAUUACUUAGAACACCAAUUGCGAAGGCAGGUUACUAAACUAUAACUGACGCUGAUGGACGAAAGCGUGGGGAGCGAACAGGAUUAAAUACCCUGGUAGUCCACGCCGUAAACGAUGCUAACUCGUUUUUGGGCUUUCGGGUUCAGAGACUAAACAAAAGUGAUAAGUUAGCCACCUGGGGAGUACGUUCGCAAGGAUGAAACUCA